AUUUGCCUCUCUCUUCAUCUCUCGUCAGUUUUUCUCUUUACUUAGUAUUCUUGGAGAAAGCUGAGUCCAUCUCACCAGACCAGGUGAAUGGUUCUCCCAAUUUGGAGGGACUGAGAUUGGGCAGACUACAGGAAGUCAUUUCAAUGAUUUGUGUUAGGUUGAAUCACAUGGAAGUGUCUAUGUUGAGUUUUCUCUCUUUCUUUCAGUACUAGGGAUUGAACCCAGGAAUAUUCUACCUCUGAGCUACAUCCCUAUCCUUUUAAAUUUUUUAAAACUGUUAAAAUUUUGAGACAGGGUCUCACUAAGCUGCUCACACCGGCAUAGAACUUGUGAUUGUCCAGCUUCAGCCGCCUGAGUAGCUGGGAUUCUCAGUCCUCACACCAAUUCCAUGAUGGAGGAAUGAAGAUUCCCAUUUCACAGAUCUGGACACCGAGGCACAGAGAGACCAAGGGAAGCAAAAAAGAAAAAGGUAUAGGUAUACCCCUAAAUUGUGCACCAUGUGAGAUCAGGCAGUCUCCAGUCAACUGACUUUCCAGGAACCUGAAAGCAGGACUUUAUGGGAAGUGUUUGUGUCCCCAGUAGACUGUAAACUCAUUGAGAACCGGUCUGUAUUCCAAACCCUCAGUGCAAAUGCAUGGCACCAAGGAAGAACUCAAUAAAUACCCAGUGAGAAAGGAAAUGGAAUAAUAAGAACCAGGGAAAGCAAGAAUCCACUCUGUCAAGUGACCUUUCUCCUGUUGUCCCUCCUGGAGAGGCACCCUCUGGGGAGGAGCACAGCUGUGAUCCAGCUUCCUUGGGACAGUGGUCACCAGACACAUGAUCCCAGGAGGAACAACAGCAACCAUAGUGGCGGCAGCUCCUAUGGGACCUGCCACGUGAGAGCAUCGGAGUCCUGCCUAGGGAAGACAUGGCAUCUGGAAGAACUGUGCGCCUUGGGAGUUAUCUGCUUAUUCAUUCCACAGUCCUCCUUCUAGUAGAGCUGCCAACAGUUCCUCAGCAUCCGGGAACGCAGGACCACUCUCUGAUUAUGUCUGUGACAGUUGUAUUAUCGUAAUGACCAUUUAUAAUAAAG